AUGCAUACGAUUUAAAAAUGUAUUAAAUAUACGCCCGUGUUUUUAGUCAUUAUUUUCAUGUUGAAACUUGAAGUCACAAUAUGGUAGCCAAUUGUUUUCCUCAGACAUAUCAUUAUAUUAUAGGCUAUGUGUUUAUAGAGAAACAACCGUAAAAAACUAGAAAUAUGGAGCAAAAACGAGCAAAUCAAAUCAAAUUCUCCAAUGUCUAAACA